GUGGAGGUAGUUGAGGAAAAAGUGGAGGGGAGGGUAGUUGAGGGCAUGGCAAGUGCACAACUAGUGUUUGCAGCCACUGAUAAUAUACCCACUUCUAUUGCUUAACCAAUUGCAAAGCUAGAGAGAGAGCUUUACAAUUCCAUACUCAUUUCAGAGAUUGCUUCUUUACAACUAGAGUGAAAAUGGUUGGUCAUCAUGUCACCUUGAAAGGUCCAGGGGUGAUCAAGGAGAUUUGUUUGGGGAUUAUACUCAGUCUGUCUAUUGCCAGCGUGUGGAAGAAGAAACAAUGGGACAUGAAGAAAAGAACCACGGGAUUCUAUGACUCGCUCAAUAAAGGUGAGAUUAGUUUAGUUCCCGAAGAGUAGCUAUUCUUGUGCCCUUCCUCAUUUUAUCGAUACUUUUGUUAAUAGUUUUUCAGUAAGUAUGAAUAUGUAAACCAAACAUAGAAUUGGACCUAGAAACACAUGAAUGAACCUGAUUUUUACAAAAUUAGUUGACGGUCUCGCUUCUAAAAAA